rnacentral:rRNA from 1 species
UACGAAGGGGGCUAGCGUUGCUCGGAAUCACUGGGCGUAAAGCGCACGUAGGCGGCUUCUUAAGUCAGGGGUGAAAUCCCGGGGCUCAACCCCAGAACUGCCCUUGAUACUGAGGAGCUUGAGUCUGGGAGAGGUGAGUGGAACUCCGAGUGUAGAGGUGAAAUUCGUAGAUAUUUGGAAGAACACCAGUGGCGAAGGCGGCUCACUGGCCCGGUACUGACGCUGAGGUGCGAAAGCGUGGGGAGCAAACAGG